CGAACGGGUGAGUAACACGUGGGUGAUCUGCCCUGCACUCUGGGAUAAGCCUGGGAAACUGGGUCUAAUACUGGAUAUGACCUUUCUCCUUAUGGGGUUUGGUGGAAAGUUUUCGGUGUAGGAUGAGCCCGCGGCCUAUCAGCUUGUUGGUGGGGUGAUGGCCUACCAAGGCGACGACGGGUAGCCGGCCUGAGAGGGUGAUCGGCCACAUUGGGACUGAGAUGCGGCCCAG
rnacentral:rRNA from 1 species